rnacentral:misc_RNA from 1 species
GCCACUUCCAGCUACGCUCUACAAAAGUACCAAGAACCCAUGGCUGGGUUGACCAACGCCAGCAGCUUCCCCUUCAAUCCAAUCCUAACCCCACCGACCGCCAAAACGACGUUGUCUCUACUUCCUCUCUCCUCACUUGAAUCCAAGUUCUUCGGCCUCCAAUUCCGUGGCUUCAAUAUCUGCAAGCCUGACUCUCUCAUCUCUCUUUCGUACGCCUUCCCCACCUCUGUAGUCACCGCCCGUUACGGUGGCUCCCGUUCUUAUGGCAUUUCCCGGCGGUCAAGGCAGAGUGAUUCCGACGAAGAGCAGGCUCUUGAUACAUCUAGCAUUAGGGCAUCUACUGUGAGGCUCAUUGAUGAACAACAAAAUAUGGUUGGAGUGGUGCCUAAAAGCGAGGCAAUUCAAAUGGCUGAAGAUGCUGAACUUGAUUUGGUGAUAUUAUCCCCAGAUGCAGACCCCCCAGUAGUCAGAAUAAUGGAUUACAACAAAUAUAGAUAUGAAUUGCAAAAGAAGAAGAGAGGACAGCUGAAGAAAAGUGCUGCAAAUCGCAUGGAUCUGAAGGAACUUAAAAUGGGGUGAGCACUAAUUUACCGUCAAUCUCAUUGAUGAUUCCUCAAUCUGUAUUUUUCUUUAAAAUUCUGAUUUUUGUUAGCCCACCGAUUGAUGCUGGCCAUUGAUUGCUACAAAACUUGACAUCCUCGUGAUGUAUAAUCUUUUCAAAUGGAUGUUUUCACAUUGAUCAGCAUUCUGUUAAAUAUCCAUCUGAAAACUGAUGCAUCAAAAUGACUGAAGGCCUGAAACUUUAUGAUAAAUCUGGGAAGGAAGUUAAAUUAUUGGAGGCAGGUAGGGUUGAUGCCUCCUAUUUGCUUUUAUCUCAAGUAACUUGCCCCUGUGCUAAUCUGAAAGGUAUAAUGGGAAAGAUAAAGACAAUUGUCAAUCAUUGACAUGUUUAUACAUAUGCCCUAUAUCAUUGGAGUUGUAAGGAGCUUAAUAUUGGAAAAAGUUUUGAGAAGGCAAGGUUAUCUAGAGUGGGUUCUUGGUUCUGCAAAUACUUAGGCUUCUGGGUACCACUUCAUCUCAAGGUAGUGGUUCUCUCUUUAAAUAUAAACGUCCUUCAUCUUCACCAGUUCUAAUUCUUAUUUUUUCUUAUUUGUCCUACCAUUGAUUCUUCCUGGGAGAGAUACCAUGGAUUCUUCAGGCAUGUACUGCUGGUGUGCUAAUGUUGGAAACAGGAUACAUGUAUUAACCUUGAAUUCAAAAUCAUUUUACAACAUUGAUCAACAUGAUUAUGAUGUACGUUUGAGAGCUGCUCGUAAGUUUUUAAAAGAUGGUGACAAGGUUAAGGUCAUAGUGAACUUGAAAGGUCGUGAAAAUGAUUUCAGAAAUAUUGCUAUUGAGCUUAUCAGACGUUUCCAGAAUGACGUUGGAGAGCUUGCAACUGAGGAAAGCAAGAACUUCAGAGAUAGGAAUAUAUUUAUUACUUUGGUGCCAAAUAAGGCUGUUCUACAGAAAACGCAGGAGUCACCAAAGAAAAGAGACAAGUCAGCUAUAAAUGAAGUGUCAGUUGGUGUAUGAAUGCUCUUGGAGGUUCAAGAAGGGAAUGGUUGGUAGGUACUCCAAAUUUUUGUCUGUUAAAUAGGUUUGGUAUUUGAGCUUAUGUGCAGCUUAGCAUAAUACAACAUGUAUAACAACAUGCUUACCACAUUUUUACAACAUAAGCAACUUGUCGUAGUUUUAAUAAUUCUGAGAUUGGACUUGAUUUGUUUAUUUGUUUUCGUAUGUUUCUAGUCUUCAGCCAGAUUAGGGUGCUUUAUAAUGUUAGGACUGAGAGCUUAUAGUAAAUUUAUGAAUGCUAUGAGGCUGCAAUUCCAAGAAUAGUGCUCUUUAUUCUCGACAGGUUGAUGUUACUAAAGGUCGAGUGUAUGAACUUGAGGAAAAAAUGCACAAAAAGGUCAGUCAUGCAUUGAAGGAGUUCUGUAAACCAAUAUGAGAAAAGUAUAAAGCUUCCUCCUGGGAUUGGCAUACAUGGAUUGGACCGACACAAUCAAUCAGCGUAUGGGAACCAUCAAAGCAGGAAAGUAAAUCUGAAAUGAGAAUCUUCCUUGCUUUAUGGUUAUUUUUCUGUAACUCGGAAGUUGAUGGAUUUAUAUACAUUUUCUUGAUUUGUGUCUGGUCAACGGGAAAUCCGGAGAGGAGAAGCUAUUAGGAGGCUGUAAAAGGAAUCAAUCUGUGUCUUUGAUUUUAAAAUAAGUUACUACUACUCAUUACCAAAAAUGAAAGAGAGAGAGAGAGAGAGGGAGAGGGAGAGAGAGAGAGAGAGAAAGAUUACAUCGCCCAUGAAUUUCUGGAGAUUCUUGGUAUUGUUGGCGAAAGUGUACAUAAGAAAGAUGGGAACGGUCACAUACACACCGAACUUGGCGAUCUCCAAAAUCCCCUUUGAUGUUCCCAGCGAUGACAUUUUCCCGAGAAAAAUCCUGCUUACCCAGAAUCUCACCAGGCA